GGGGGAGUAGCUCAGAUGGUAGAGCGCUCGCUUAACAUGUCAGAGGUACCGGGAUCGAUGUCCGGCGCCUCCA
rnacentral:tRNA from 1 species